GGGGCUGUGGGGUAGCUUGGUCUAUCCUUCGGGGUUUGGGACCCUGCGACGGCAGUUCAAAUCUGCCCAGCCCCA
rnacentral:tRNA from 2 species